rnacentral:rRNA from 1 species
GAGGGGUGCUAGCGUUAUUCGGAAUCAUUGGGCGUAAAGGGUGUGUAGACGGCGCAUUAAGUCAACUGUUAAAUUCUCCGGCCUAACUGGAGGUCAGCGGUAGAAACUGGUGUGCUAGAGGGUGAGAGAGAGAAGUGGAAUUCUCGGAGUAGCGGUAAAAUGCGUAGAUCUCGAGAGGAACACCGAUGGCGAAGGCAGCUUCUUGGCUCAUUCCUGACGUUGAGACACGAAAGCGUGGGGGAGCAAACAGGAUUAGAUACCCUGGUAGUCCACGCCGUAAACGAUGAUCACUAGACGUCAGCUCUGUUUUGCAGGGUUGGUGUCGCAGCUAACGCGUUAAGUGAUCCGCCUGGGGACUACGAUCGCAAGAUUA